GAGCCAUGAAGGUUCCUGAAAUCCAGCUGGACUCCAGGGUUCAUCCACUGGGAGGAAACUUGCAUUCCCUCAACUCUUAAGUAAAUUGAAACCUGGUGAAUAAUUAACCUCUCCCUUCUAGCCUAUUUUUUUCCUCUAAGAAACAUUAAAUCCCAACCUGUCAAAGAUCAGUUUUUGUCCAGCAGGAUCGGAAUGACAAAGGGAGUUCUGGGAGAAGCUGGGCCUUUUAUCACCACUUCAAGUCCUAGCAACUCUGAAGGUCUGACUCCUAGAAACCCCUCCAGGGUUUCAACUUCUGCUGCCUUCCGAGCUGCUUCCCAGGUCUCCUUCCGUGUCUCCUCACCCAAAAUUGAGCUGUCUUGAGCCCUCCCUGACAUUGAGGAUCCUGUUCCCUACUUUGGCGACAGCUUGGCCCUGGCUACUGAGCAGGCUGCUGCUGGCUAGUUUGUGGCUCUCUGCACGGGCUGGUAAAUAUUUGGCCAGUCUUGGCUCUUUUACACAAAAGAGCAGAGCUUCUAAUCUGUGUGUGCAUCGGGUAGCGGCCACCAACUCAACCUUUGCCGACCUGGCCUCUCUGGGAUGGGAGGACUUUUCCGAGGUCAAGUUGAAACUACUCUCCAAAUGAGAGUGAAUGGGGACUUGCUGAUUAUUUAAACAGUUUCGUCUGGCCUGUACACUGAUUUGCAUGCAUUUUUACAACUUCCUCUGUUGGAGGCAGGGCAGACCCAGGUGCACGAGCAGCGAGGACGCUUCCUGCUCCAGCUGGCCCGUCCUUCUCAUCAACCUCAGGAGUCAGCGGGGGCGUUCAUCUUGGAGGCGUUUCUAAGAUCCCCGGCUGCCAGGUGGAAAGCUCUCAUCACCCGAGAACAUGGCUGUGUGCUUGGUACUCACGAGACCCUGUCUGCCAUGGCCCUCCUUCCCGGCUGGCCAGCCCCUGCUCCCUGGACUCUGACCCAUCCUGCCUCUGCUGUGCUUCUAUACAGCUCUCCCAGAGAUGAUUUGUUUAUGUAUUUAAGUUUAUUCAUGUUCUUCAUGACAGAGGGCUUGUGUGCAUGAGAGAAGCACCUUGACGGCCUUGUCGUGCUGCAAUCCUCUUUCCCCCGCCCUCCCGCUCAUCAGGAUUCUGGGCACACAAGCAUGUUUUCAAGCUGACCCUGGGAUCCGAACCUGCAGAUGGCCAUGAGGCCCCAGCUUACCAUCAACUGUGCCGCCAGGCAGGGCCCCCAGAGACUGUUUCUAAGUGACUGAAUUUGCUCAAGAGCCCCCGCCUUCUUCUGUCCAGAGGAAGGAACAACUUCCAGGAGUACACUCAGCAGAGCGCUCUGGCUGCCUGGCACGAGAAGACACCCAGUGAGUGGCAGUUGCACCGCGGAGCUCAGGACGGUUCCAGCAUGGUGGAUGGUGCCUCCCAUCCUGAUCCUACCAGAUGGUCAUUCCCAGCAUUGCUCUGUGGCCGUCCUGCCCCGAUGAACCCUUUUGAGAUGAUGUCUCUGAACUGGGAAAGCUAUCCCCUCACCUUUGUCCUGGGUUCCUCUCUGGUCUGGCUGCUGGGAUUCAGUGCUCAUGGAGGCAUGCUUCCCCACUGGGGAGUUUGUCUUACAAGUCCCCAUGCCACCAUUGGCUCCAAGGCACCCCACUGGGCCUGGGCCAGAGGAACUGCUGCAGAACUCCUCCCACCCUGCCCGCUGCUUUGGGCUGCACGGCCAGGCACAGGCAGGAGGUCUCUCUGUUUGGCCUGACUGGCAGGGAAGCAAUCAGUGCUCUGCCUGUGCCUAGUAACAUCACAGGAAGGCAGACUUUGGGUUGGAAUGAGCCUUGAGGUCACCCCGAUGGCCACUACGGAGUCUUCUGGAGGUAGGAAAGGGCAAUACUGUGACCCCUGGGUAUGUGGAGACGUGGUGGUCAUCUCUUGCUUUCCAUGGCUCUUUAUUCUGCUGCUGCUACUUCCUUCAGGAGGUCACCGGUAUCGCUGGGGUUCCGGUAGAGCCAACACUACCCCGUGGCUUAGGCAUAGGCAUGUGAUAUAGGCAUGGAUGUGGACUCCCCCUUGGGACUUCUGCAGCAGCUCUAGAA